rnacentral:rRNA from 1 species
AUACGGAGGGUGCAAGCGUUAUCCGGAAUCAUUGGGUUUAAAGGGUCCGUAGGCGGACUAUUAAGUCAGAGGUGAAAUCCCACAGCUCAACUGUGGAACUGCCUUUGAUACUGGUAGUCUUGAGUUAUAUGGAAGUAGAUAGAAUGUGUAGUGUAGCGGUGAAAUGCAUAGAUAUUACACAGAAUACCGAUUGCGAAGGCAGUCUACUACGUAUAUACUGACGCUAAGGGACGAAAGCGUGGGGAGCGAACAGGAUUAGAAACCCGGGUAGUCC